CAGAGUUACAGACCCCUAAUAAUUAGAGGUAGACGUGGUCAUGGGAGAGGCCCCCAUUCUGGAGGACGUGGUGGACAAGGUAAUGGUGGUCACCAAAUCAGCCGGGAUGGCGGGAAAGUUAGAACUACUGCAGCACAACAUGGUAGGGGCAACGGGCAGACAGGUGAUAGGGCCCAUUGUUCCCCUUUCCAAGGAGGUCUGAAGCAGAGACAUCUGAUGCUGUUAUCACAGCAAGCGUGACAUCGACUUCGACUCGUCCUCAACUCUAGCUAGUCUUCAACAUAUCACAUUUCAGGUUCUUUGUAGGUGAAGAGCUUUCGGAAUAAGACUUGGACUAGGAGAUCGUUCAAGAAGAAGUUGAAGUAUGUCCUCACUUGACUCGAGGGCAUAUAUGUCAUAUUAUUUUUCUUUCAUAAACUUUUUUAAUAGUGUGUAUAGUAGUAUGUUUUAAAUUCGUAUGGGUCGUGUCCCAAGUAUUGUCGUGUCUUAAGAUGAUGAAUCGAGACUUA